GAACUUAUUCUGGAAUCGCGUUUUGGCUAUCUAAUGACCAAAUGGUUGGAGAACCCUCAGAUGCAAUUCAGUAUAAGAGAAGAACGUGCAGUGGAAAAUCCUGCCCUGGUCAGUGUGAUAUCUGCCUUACAAUGGAGGUUCUGUCAUCGUCGCACUGAUAUUUUGAAAACAAAGACCACUGUGGAAUCUGGAUUGUGAAAUGAGCCUCUGUCCUCUGGAAACAAGUGUAAUAGACCAGAACAUUUACCCUCCAUCCCUUUGGGUACUUUGAACAGACUAUCAUUCUCACCGAAUGAAAAAGAAAAAUUCCUCAUAGAUUCAAUCCAGCAACAUCGAAAGAAGCUGGAAAACUUGCAG